rnacentral:lncRNA from 1 species
UAACCGUGUUACUAUCCAUCUCGGAAAAAUUAACAUUCUCGUCAGAAACUACAUUUGUUUUACCAGCCUUCCCAAAUGUCCCACCCACUUUGUCUUGUUUAAUCGCGUCAUUAUCAAAACUGUGCCUUGAAGUGCCACCAAUGCUGUCUAGAUUCAUAUCAAGCGGUGAACUUGAAUGUUUUUCUUUAGUAGCAAAAGUCAAGAUAUUCCCUUGCUUAGAGUCAUUCAUCUUUGUGUCCAUCA